rnacentral:rRNA from 1 species
GACGUAGGGCGCGAGCGUUGUCCGGAUUUAUUGGGCGUAAAGAGCGCGCAGGCGGCUGGCCAAGUCCGAUGUGAAAUCUCCCGGCUUAACCGGGAAACUGCAUCGGAAACUGGUCGGCUUGAAGGUGGGAGAGGGUAGCGGAAUUCCCGGUGUAGUGGUGAAAUGCGUAGAUAUCGGGAGGAACACCAGUGGCGAAGGCGGCUACCUGGCCCAUUCUUGACGCUGAGGCGCGAAAGCUAGGGGAGCGAACGGG